rnacentral:rRNA from 1 species
CUCGGAAGCUAAGCAGGGUCGGGCCUGGUUAGUUAUCUUGGAUGGGAGACCACCUGGGAAUCCCGGGUGCUCGAGG